UCGCGGCUUAUCACCGGCAGUCUCCCUAGAGUGCCCAACUAAAUGAUGGCAACUAAGGACGAGGGUUGCGCUCGUUGCGGGACUUAACCCAACAUCUCACGACACGAGCUGACGACAGCCAUGCAGCACCUGUCUCAAUGUUCCCGAAGGCACCAAUCCAUCUCUGGAAAGUUCAUUGGAUGUCAAGGCCUGGUAAGGUUCUUCGCGUUGCUUCGAAUUAGACCACAUGCUCCACCGCUUGUGCGGGCCCCCGUCAAUUCAUUUGAGUUUUAAUCUUGCGACCGUACUCCCCAGGCGGGGUGCUUAAAGCGUUAGCUGCGGCACGGAGGGGGUCGACACCCCCCACACCUAGCAUCCACCGUUUACAGCGUGGACUAC
rnacentral:misc_RNA from 1 species